AUUUCUAUGAAGAAACAGAUACCCUGCAAACCUGUUGGAAGGAACCAUAUUAGGUUUUCUUGGCCACUACCUGUGCUGCUAAGUUGAAGGGCAAUGUCUUUUAGGAUAUUUGGUCACCCCUCUAUUUAUACACAGCUCCGAAGAAACCCAACACUGGACAAAUUCUCUCAAACUUUUCCCCAAGCUUGGCCACCAAUCUGUUUUAGAUGAAGACUCCAUUUGGAGGAAAUCUGCUAAUUAUCUGCCUGGCUUUCAGGAGAACAGCUUUAUGCAUUUUACUGGAAAAAUGCUUUUGCCUUGGUAGCAUUCCCAAAACCAAGUCCUGCGACUCUGUCUGAAAUCAUGCUAAAACAGAACAGACCUCAGAAUCUUACUACGCUCACUCUGCAAAAUAAAAGCAGUACAUGAGAA
rnacentral:lncRNA from 1 species